CAAGGCAGACGGCUCAGUAACGCGUAGUCAAUCUACCCUAUGGACGGGAAUAACCUCGGGAAACUGAGAAUAAUGCCCGAUAGAACAUUAUACCUGGAACGGUUUAUGUUUCAAAUGAUUUAUCGCCGUAGGAUGGGACUGCGGCCUAUCAGUUUGUUGGUGAGGUAAUGGCCCACCAAGACUAUUACAGGUACGGGCUCUGAGAGGAGUAGCCCGGAGAUGGGUACUGAGACACGGACCCAGGCCCUAUGGGGCGCAGCAGGCGAGAAAACUUUGCAAUGUGCGAAAGCACGACAAGGUUAAUCCGAGUGGUUUCUGCUAAAGAAACCUUUUGCUAGUCCUAGAAACACUAGCGAAUAAGGGGUGGGCAAGUUCUGGUGUCAGCCGCCGCGGUAAAACCAGCACCUCAAGUGGUCAGGAUGAUUAUUGGGCCUAAAGCAUCCGUAGCCCGUUUUGUAAGUUUUCGGUUAAAUCCAUACGCUCAACGUAUGGGCUGCCGGGAAUACUGCCUAACUAGGAAGUGGGAGAGGUAGACGGUACUCGGGAGGAAGGGGUAAAAUCCUUUGAUCUCUUGAUGACCACCUGUGGCGAAGGCGGUCUACCAGAACACGUUCGACGGUGAGGGAUGAAAGCUGGGGGAGCAAACCGGAUUAGAUACCCGGGUAGUCCCAGCUGUAAACUAUGCAAACUCAGUGAUGCAUUGGCUUGUGGCCAAUGCAGUGCUGCAGGGAAGCCGUUAAGUUUGCCGCCUGGGAAGUACGUACGCAAGUAUGAAACUUAAAGGAAUUGGCGGGGGAGCACCACAAGGGGUGAAGCCUGCGGUUC
rnacentral:rRNA from 1 species